AGUUUGAUCCUGGCUCAGGAUGAACGCUAGCGGCAGGCCUAAUACACGCAAGUCGAACGGUGAUAGCAAUAUCAUAGUGGCGCACGGGUGCGUAACACGUAUGCAACCUACCUUAUACUGAGGGAUAGCCUUUCGAAAGGGAGAUUAAUACCUCAUAACACAUUGAACUGGCAUCAGUUUAUUGUUAAAGAUUUAUUGGUAUAAGAUGGGCAUGCGUCCAAUUAGUUAGUUGGCGAGGUAACGGCUCACCAAGACGAUGAUUGGUAGGGGAACUGAGAGGUUAAUCCCCCACACUGGCACUGAGAUACGGGCCAGACUCCUACGGGAGGCAGCAGUAGGGAAUAUUGGGCAAUGGAGGCAACUCUGACCCAGCCAUGCCGCGUGCAGGAAGAAGGCGUUAUGCGUUGUAAACUGCUUUUAUAUAGGAAGAAAUAGACCUUGCGAGGUAAGUUGACGGUACUAUAUGAAUAAGCACCGGCUAACUCCGUGCCAGCAGCCGCGGUAAUACGGAGGGUGCAAGCGUUGUCCGGAUUUAUUGGGUUUAAAGGGUGCGUAGGCGGUUUAUUAAGUCAGUGGUGAAAGACGGUCGCUCAACGAUUGCAGUGCCAUUGAUACUGGUAGACUUGAGUGGGAUUGAGGUAGCUGGAAUGGAUAGUGUAGCGGUGAAAUGCAUAGAUAUUAUCCAGAACACCAAUUGCGUA
rnacentral:rRNA from 1 species